GCAGAGCAAUGGAGAGAUGUUGCUGAAGAGGCUUGCCUUUUUUUCCUGAUGAUCCUCCAAACCUCCUGUGAAGUAUCUCCCCUCCCAGAAGUGCAGGCAGCCAAUGCACGGUCUCGGCACCAGCAGUCCCUUGUUCUGCAUCGAAGUUUUCCUUGUAACAAACUGCAAAGGGCUCCAGACGUCUCCCCUACAUCUCCCCUCGGCGAUCCAAGCCCUUUCCUCCAUCCCCAGCAGCAUCUCCAGUUGCUUCAGUCGGAGCUUUGCGGGGCGGCCGCUGUGCAGGGAGGAAGGCAGCCUUCGCCAUCUAGUGAGCAUCGCACACCAUCACCGGCAGCUGCGCCUGAAGGAAGGGCUGAUCCAUUUCUCCCACGAAAACCCCUUUUUUUCUCACCUCUGAAAGAACAUACUAACAUGCCAUGCUGA
rnacentral:lncRNA from 1 species